UGGCCUUUUCACAAAAAGUGAGAGUGACAUAAUGUGAGUGGUGUCACUUUCUAGCUGCCAGAAGAUCUAAUCGCUUCACAGACUUUUCUUUUCUUUAUACUUCUUUUUCUAAUUUUUUUUGUGUUAAUUUCUUUUCUUUAUUUUCAAAUGAAGUGAGAGGUCAUGGUCCAUGGGAACUUUGAUGGGACAAUUGCGAGCCAUCGAUUAUCUUGAUUCAAUGAUCAAGAGUUAACACUAGAAUUAGA
rnacentral:lncRNA from 1 species